GUGACCUCAAAUCAGGUAGGACUACCCGCUGAACUUAAGCAUAUCAAUAAGCGGAGGAAAAGAAACUAACAAGGAUUCCCCUAGUAACUGCGAGUGAAGCGGGAAAAG
rnacentral:rRNA from 1 species